AGUGUGAGGUAAACCUCUGUGUGAGAGAAGCCUCAUUUGAGAAAGCUCCAGUGCAAAGGCUGCUGUGUGUAACGCUACUAUGUAUUCGUUUAUUUGUGUUAUGGAAACCUUGUUCUUGUAUGUAGUGCAACCAUAUUAUUUUACUACAGAAGGUCCAAAGACUGCAAUUUUCUAGGCGUGGAAACAGAUUCACAAACUGAUAAAAACCCAAUGAAACUAGGACAGUGUGCAAUGCAAGAUGCACAGGAACAAGGGUCAGGAGGAGAAUGCAAACAGAGUCGAAUCCAGAAGAGUGUCAGGUAAACCUCUGUGUGAGAGAACCCUCAUGUGAGUGAGUUUGGAGACUAGAACCAAGCCUGUCCUACCUUGCAGGGUUGUUGUUGUUGUUUCUAUAAUGGAUAGGAAGUCGUGGACCAAAAGAUAGAUUUUGACUGAUUCCAAGACUCUGUGAACAUUACAAUCCACUUCCUGGAGUUUGCUGGAUCCCGGUGUUGCUAAUGGAGCGAUAAUGGCUUCUUCUCUUUCCAGGAACAGCGGGCAGCAGGGAGACCUGGACGGCGCACGGCGCCUGGGACGAGUGGCCCGCUUCCUCAGCCUCCUCUCCAUCCUCCUGGGCUCCGUCAUUAUCCUCACCUGUUCCCUCAACUUCGCAGGUCUCCUGAAGGCCAACUGAAGCGGAAGGAAGGCCAAGAAGAUGGCCUGCAACGCAUGGGACAAAGGCAACGAGACCCUUGGAUUUCCUAAAGAUGGACAAAUGGACGAACAGAUGGAGAUGGAGGGCUUUCUCAUUUAUUGCAGACUCCU